GAUGAACGCUGGCGGCGUGCCUAAUACAUGCAAGUCGAGCGAACGGACGAGAAGCUUGCUUCUCUGAUGUUAGCGGCGGACGGGUGAGUAACACGUGGAUAACCUACCUAUAAGACUGGGAUAACUUCGGGAAACCGGAGCUAAUACCGGAUAAUAUUUUGAACCGCAUGGUUCAAAAGUGAAAGACGGUCUUGCUGUCACUUAUAGAUGGAUCCGCGCUGCAUUAGCUAGUUGGUAAGGUAACGGCUUACCAAGGCAACGAUGCAUAGCCGACCUGAGAGGGUGAUCGGCCACACUGGAACUGAGACACAGUCCAGACGCCUACGGGAGGCAGCAGUAGGGAAUCUUCCGCAAUGGGCGAAAGCCUGACGGAGCAACGCCGCGUGAGUGAUGAAGGUCUUCGGAUCGUAAAACUCUGUUAUUAGGGAAGAACAUAUGUGUAAGUAACUGUGCACAUCUUGACGGUACCUAAUCAGAAAGCCACGGCUAACUACGUG
rnacentral:rRNA from 1 species